AAGUCGUAACAAGGUUUCCGUAGGUGAACCUGCGGAAGGAUCAUUAACACGUAUCCUACGUAUCAACCCCUUCGUGCUUUUGUUUGUGCAGUUGAAUUGGAGUUUCUUUCUCUUUUGAACUUUUUGGGUGGUGCUUCGGCGCGAUCCAGAGGGAGAGAGAGAGGAGGGAGCUUUGAUUUAAUAGCUAUAACUAUUAACCCCUUUGUAAACAUUUCUUCUGAAAUAAUGUUUGUAGUUGAGCUGGAAACGGCUUAGCUCGAACAAUAUUACGAAAUGCUUGACAACUCUUAACAACGGAUAUCUUGGUUCUC
rnacentral:misc_RNA from 1 species